UACGAAGGGGGCUAGCGUUGCUCGGAAUCACUGGGCGUAAAGCGCACGUAGGCGGCUUUUUAAGUCAGGGGUGAAAUCCUGGAGCUCAACUCCAGAACUGCCUUUGAUACUGAGAGGCUCGAGUCCGGGAGAGGUGAGUGGAACUGCGAGUGUAGAGGUGAAAUUCGUAGAUAUUCGCAAGAACACCAGUGGCGAAGGCGGCUCACUGGCCCGGUACUGACGCUGAGGCGCGAAAGCGUGGGUAGCAAACAGG
rnacentral:rRNA from 1 species